AUUGAACGCUGGCGGCAGGCUUAACACAUGCAAGUCGAGCGGAAACGAUGUAGCUUGCUACAGGCGUCGAGCGGCGGACGGGUGAGUAACGCGUAGGAAUCUGCCUAGUAGUGGGGGACAACAUGUGGAAACGCAUGCUAAUACCGCAUACGCCCUACGGGGGAAAGGAGGGGAUCUUCGGACCUUUCGCU
rnacentral:rRNA from 1 species